rnacentral:rRNA from 1 species
CACAAUGACUCUCGGCAACGGAUAUCUCGGCUCUUGCAUCGAUGAAGAACGUAGCGAAAUGCGAUACUUGGUGUGAAUUGCAGAAUCCCGUGAACCAUCGAGUCUUUGAACGCAARUUGCGCCCGAAGCCAUUAGGCCGAGGGCACGCCUGCCUGGGUGUCACA